UACGGAGGGAGCUAGCGUUGUUCGGAAUUACUGGGCGUAAAGCGCGCGUAGGCGGUUUUUCAAGUCAGAGGUGAAAGCCCGGGGCUCAACCCCGGAAUUGCCUUUGAAACUGGAAGACUUGAAUCUUGGAGAGGUCAGUGGAAUUCCGAGUGUAGAGGUGAAAUUCGUAGAUAUUCGGAAGAACACCAGUGGCGAAGGCGACUGACUGGACAAGUAUUGACGCUGAGGCACGAAAGCGUGGGGAUCAAAC
rnacentral:rRNA from 1 species